rnacentral:rRNA from 1 species
UACGGAGGGUGCAAACGUUGCUCGGAAUUAUUGGGCGUAAAGCGCACGUAGGCGGAUCGCUAAGUCGGAUGUGAAAGCCCUCGGCUUAACCGAGGAAGUGCAUUCGAAACUGGCGACCUUGAGUAUGGAAGAGGGUCGCGGAAUUCCCGGUGUAGAGGUGAAAUUCGUAGAUAUCGGGAGGAACACCAGUGGCGAAGGCGGCGACCUGGGCCAAUACUGACGCUGAGGUGCGAAAGCGUGGGGAGCAAACAGG